rnacentral:rRNA from 1 species
AAUGGGGGAAACCCUGACGCAGCAACGCCGCGUGAAGGAUGAAGGUUUUCGGAUUGUAAACUUCUUUGAUUAGGGACGAAAAAAAUGACGGUACCUAAAAAACAAGCCACGGCUAACUACGUGCCAGCAGCCGCGGUAAUACGUAGGUGGCGAGCGUUGUCCGGAAUUACUGGGUGUAAAGGGCGUGUAGGCGGGGAUGUAAGUCAGAUGUGAAAUUUCCGGGCUUAACUUGGAAGCUGCAUCUGAAACUAUAUCUCUUGAGUGCUGGAGAGGAAAGCGGAAUUCCUAGUGUAGCGGUGAAAUGCGUAGAUAUUAGGAGGAACACCAGUGGCGAAGGCGGCUUUCUGGACAGUAACUGACGCUGAGGCGCGAAAGCGUGGGGAGCGAA